rnacentral:lncRNA from 1 species
CACUAAGGUUUCUGCUCACUGUGACCUUGAAUUGCACUCUGUCCCCUCCCCUGACCUCUGGCUUUCUCUGCACAGUUUCAGUCCAACCUUCCUGAGAUAGAAGGUGUGAUUGGCUAUGUCAGUCACCCUUCAGUAGAGAUCAUCCCUGACCAGUGUGUGGCUUUGUGCACACUAGUCCUUCUUGGCCUGGGUGCCUGGCCUAGACUGCACAGCUGUGACUACACAAUGGGGAGCAGAGCAGCCCACAUCUCCCCCUCAGAAGGGCACUGGGGAGUGGCAGCCUUCUGAAGCUGGCACCUCGUAACCACAGGCCCUGCCUGGAGCUUCCCCGGUCAGUCCAGGAGGUGAGCACCUGGAUGAGGGAUGGACAGUGAGCCCAGGGUCAGCCAACGUGUCCUGUCCAUCAGUCCCUGUGCCAUCAGCUCAUUUGUGUUCCUCUGUGCACUGGCACCAGGAAUAAAUGUGAAGAGAGUGUUGGAACCAGUUGAGAAUCCAUGUCCAGGUACCAGCUGGACCAUGUUACGCCUGUGUGGCUGGGGACCAGGGAGAUGGCAUAUCAGAGUGGGUAAAAGAACAGACCGGAGCCUGACUUCCUGGAUUCAAACCUCAGUCUCACCAACCAUUUCCCUCCAGGAACAGGCUGAUCACAGGUGGGGAACACACCUACAAAGUGUCCAUCACAGCUGACAAAGGAAUGGAACAGUAAAAGACCCUGGAGUCCAUCAGGACUGAAGUAAACCCCCUCCUUACUCCCCAUUUUGCCUAUAUCUUCCUCAAGAUUCUGCAGUCCUUGAAGAUGGGUUUUUGAGACAUUAGUCUUCCAUCUUCCUGAUUGUGACAGCUAAUUGAAUUAAAUCUUCCUUUCUUGAUCCCUAAUUCGUUGUGAUUAAUUGACUUCUCUGGAGUGAUGUUAUAGGCCAGUCUCUGUGAGAGGAUGGAGAAUUGGAGGAAGCCUCAGCCUGGUCCAGGGUCACCCUUCCAGUGGCCGAGAAGAUACUCCAAAGUAAGGGUCACCUGCUAUUUGGUCCUGAAGUCCCACAUGGACAGCAUGUGAGAAUGUGAACUCCAGGAAGUGUUGCCUAGUGCUGAGAAUACUGCACGGCCCAUACGGGUUCUCGACUGGCCCAGUGCUCACCUCUUGAAGGGAACUUCAUGUGCUGUAGAACUUGUAGACAACGUAGGCUGGCACCAGAGCCAUGGAGGAGAACGUGAUGCCCCACCCAACCUGGUUGUCCCAGAGUGGGAAGAUGUAGUCAUUACAGCAGGAGGAAGGAAGAAUUUCUUUCUGUCCUUCAACAAGCCCAGCCAAUGGAAAAUACCACAGCUCAGCAAAUGAGAAACCAUCAUCACCCUGGACUCUUACCCUCCUCCAAGGAACUUUCACAGAACAGCCCUCUCUACUCCCCUUUUUUCUCUUUAAAAGCACAAUCCCCUUCUCUGUUCUCCGGCCUUGCCGGUGGUUUUUGCCAUAGCUUGCUUGUCCCAAACUGAAUUCCUCUGGCUAUUCCUGAAUAAACUCAAUCUGCUGCUG